rnacentral:rRNA from 1 species
AGUGAACGCUGGCGGUAGGCCUAACACAUGCAAGUCGAACGGCAGCACAGUAAGAGCUUGCUCUUGCGGGUGGCGAGUGGCGGACGGGUGAGGAAUACAUCGGAAUCUACUUUUUCGUGGGGGAUAACGUAGGGAAACUUACGCUAAUACCGCAUACGACCUACGGGUGAAAGCAGGGGAUCUUCGGACCUUGCGCGAUUGAAUGAGCCGAUGUCGGAUUAGCUAGUUGGCGGGGUAAAGGCCCACCAAGGCGACGAUCCGUAGCUGGUCUGAGAGGAUGAUCAGCCACACUGGAACUGAGACACGGUCCAGACUCCUACGGGAGGCAGCAGUGGGGAAUAUUGGACAAUGGGCGCAAGCCUGAUCCAGCCAUACCGCGUGGGUGAAGAAGGCCUUCGGGUUGUAAAGCCCUUUUGUUGGGAAAAAAAAGCAGCAGGUUAAUACCCCGCUGUUCUGACGGUACCCAAAGAAUAAGCACCGGCUAACUUCGUG